rnacentral:rRNA from 1 species
CCUACGGGUGGCUGCAGUGGGGAAUCUUCCGCAAUGGGCGAAAGCCUGACGGAGCAACGCCGCGUGAACGAAGAAGGCCUUCGGGUCGUAAAGUUCUGUCCUCAGGGAAGAACCCUCAUGGGAGGAAAUGCCCAUGAGCUGACGGUACCUGGGAAGGAAGCCCUGGCUAACUACGUGCCAGCAGCCGCGGUAAUACGUAGAGGGCAAGCGUUGUCCGGAAUGACUGGGCGUAAAGGGUACGCAGGCGGAUAAGUAAGUCAAAUGUGAAAGGCACCGGCUCAACCGGUGAGCUGCAUUUGAAACUGCCUAUCUUGAGUUCAGGAGAGGAGAGCGGAAUUCCUGGUGUAGCGGUGGAAUGCGUAGAUAUCAGGAAGAACACCAGUGGCGAAGGCGGCUCUCUGGCCUGAAACUGACGCUCAUGUACGAAAGCUGGGGGAGCGAACGGGAUUAGAUACCCUAGUAGUC